GAUGAACGCUGGCGGCGUGCUUAAUACAUGCAAGUCGAACGAGGGACUUUUGUCUUCGGAUAGAGGUUUCCUAGUGGCGAACGGGUGAGUAACGCGUUGGUGACCUGCCCCGAAGUGGGGGAUAACAGUUCGAAAGGACUGCUAAUACCUCAUGAUAUCAAUUGGACUAGAUACCUUUUGAUCAAAGGCGUAAGCCGCUUUGGGAGGGGCCUGCGUCCCAUCAGCUUGUUGGUAGGGUAAUGGUCUACCAAGGCUAAGACGGGUAGGGGACCUAAGAGGGUGACCCCCCACACUGGCACUGAAACACGGGCCAGACACCUACGGGAGGCAG
rnacentral:rRNA from 1 species